UGGGGAAUUUUGGACAAUGGGCGCAAGCCUGAUCCAGCCAUUCCGCGUGCAGGACGAAGGCCCUCGGGUUGUAAACUGCUUUUGUACGGAACGAAAAGGCGCUUUCUAAUACAGAGCGCUCAUGACGGUACCGUAAGAAUAAGCACCGGCUAACUACGUGCC
rnacentral:rRNA from 1 species